rnacentral:rRNA from 1 species
AAUGGGCGCAAGCCUGAUCCAGCCAUACCGCGUGCGUGAAGAAGGCCUUCGGGUUGUAAAGCACUUUAAGCAGGGAGAAAAAGCAAUAAGUUAAUACCUUAUUGCCGUGAUGUCACCUGCAGAAUAAGCACCGGCUAAUUCCGUGCCAGCAGCCGCGGUAAUACGGAAGGUGCAAGCGUUAAUCGGAAUUACUGGGCGUAAAGCGCGCGUAGGUGGUUUGUUAAGUUGGAUGUGAAAGCCCUGGGCUCAACCUAGGAACUGCAUCCAAAACUAACUCACUAGAGUACGAUAGAGGGAGGUAGAAUUCAUAGUGUAGCGGUGGAAUGCGUAGAUAUUAUGAAGAAUACCAGUGGCGAAGGCGGCCUCCUGGAUCUGUACUGACACUAAGGUGCGAAAGCGUGGGUAGCGAACAGGAUU